rnacentral:rRNA from 1 species
GACGAACGCUGGCGGCGUGCUUAACACAUGCAAGUCGAGCGAUGAAGUUUCUUCGGAAAUGGAUUAGCGGCGAACGGGUGAGGAGCACGUGAAGAAUCUGCCCUCCACUUUGGGAUAACACAGGGAAACCUGUGCUAAUACCGAAUAUUGAAACAUAAGUGGCAUCACUGAGUUUUGAAAGAAUUUCGGUGGAGGAUGACUUCGCGGCCUAUCAGCUAGUUGGUGAGGUAAUGGCUCACCAAGGCAACGACGGGUAGCCGGCCUGAGAGGGCGACCGGCCACACUGGGACUGAGACACGGCCCAGACUCCUACGGGAGGCAGCAGUGGGGAAUAUUGGGCAAUGGAGGAAACUCUGACCCAGCGACGCCGCGUGCGGGAUGAAGGCCUCGG